UACGGAGGGUGCGAGCGUUAUCCGGAUUCACUGGGUUUAAAGGGUGCGUAGGUGGGCAGGUAAGUCAGUGGUGAAAUCUCCGGGCUUAACCCGGAAACUGCCGUUGAUACUAUCUGUCUUGAAUAUCCUGGAGGUGAGCGGAAUAUGUCAUGUAGCGGUGAAAUGCUUAGAUAUGACAUAGAACACCAAUUGCGAAGGCAGCUCACUACGGGAUCAUUGACACUGAGGCACGAAAGCGUGGGGAUCAAACAGG
rnacentral:rRNA from 1 species